rnacentral:tRNA from 1 species
GUGGGUUAGUAUAACAAUACCACUGACUUAGGAUCAGUAAAUAAGUACCAGCCACUUACCCACC